AAAUUGAAGAGUUUGAUCAUGGCUCAGAUUGAACGCUGGCGGCAGGCCUAACACAUGCAAGUCGAACGGUAGCACAGAGAGCUUGCUCUCGGGUGACGAGUGGCGGACGGGUGAGUAAUGUCUGGGAAACUGCCUGAUGGAGGGGGAUAACUACUGGAAACGGUGGCUAAUACCGCAUAACGUCGCAAGACCAAAGAGGGGGACCUUCGGGCCUCUUGCCAUCAGAUGUGCCCAGAUGGGAUUAGCUUGUUGGUGAGGUAACGGCUCACCAAGGCGACGAUCCCUAGCUGGUCUGAGAGGAUGACCAGCCACACUGGAACUGAGACACGGUCCAGACUCCUAGGAACUGAGACACGGUCCAGACUCCUA
rnacentral:rRNA from 1 species